rnacentral:rRNA from 1 species
CGUCGUCGACGAGUCUAGAGAGUGUAGUAUAUGGCUCAGGACGAACGCUGGCGGCAUGCCUAACACAUGCAAGUCGAACGGAGUAUUUGGAUUCGUCUGGAUAACUUAGUGGCGGACGGGUGAGUAACACGUGAGCAACCUGCCCUUCAGAGGGGGACAACAGCUGGAAACGGCUGCUAAUACCGCAUAACAUAUACUUAAGGCAUCUUUAGUAUAUCAAAGAUUUAUCGCUGAGGGAUGGGCUCGCGUCUGAUUAGAUAGUUGGUGAGGUAACGGCCCACCAAGUCGACGAUCAGUAGCCGGACUGAGAGGUUGAACGGCCACAUUGGGACUGAGAUACGGCCCAGACUCCUACGGGAGGCAGCAGUGGGGAAUAUUGGUCAAUGGGGGGAAACCCCCUGAGCCAGCAAUGCCGCGUGAAGGAAGAAGGCCUUCGGGUUGUAAACUUCUUUGACCAGGGACGAUAAUGACGGUACCUGGAAAACAAGCCACGGCUAACUACGUGCCAGCCGCGGC